rnacentral:rRNA from 1 species
GUGGGGAAUAUUGCACAAUGGGGGGAACCCUGAUGCAGCGACGCCGCGUGGGUGAAGGAGUACUUCGGUACGUAAAGCCCUAUCAGCAGGAAAGAAAAUGACGGUACCUGACUAAGAAGCCCCGGCUAACUACGUGCCAGCAGCCGCGGUAAUACGUAGGGGGCAAGCGUUAUCCGGAUUUACUGGGUGUAAAGGGAGCGUAGACGGCAGUGCAAGUCCGGAGUGAAAGCCCGGGGCUCAACCCUGGGACUGCUCUGGAAACUGUAAAGCUGGAGUGCGGGAGGGGCAGGCGGAAUUCCUGGUGUAGCGGUGAAAUGCGUAGAUAUCAGGAGGAACACCGGCGGCGAAGGCGGCCUGCUGGACCGUAACUGACGUUGAGGCUCGAAAGCGUGGGGAGCAAACAGG